rnacentral:rRNA from 1 species
UUUCCGUAGGUGAACCUGCGGAAGGAUCAUUACCGAGUGCGGGAACCCAGUCGGGUCCCAAUCUCCCACCCGUGUCUACCACACCUAGUGUUGCUUUGGCGGGCCCACUCCUCCGGUGUUCCGCCGGGGGGGUCGUCCCGGGGCGCGGUGUGCCCCCGGGGCCCGUGCCCGCCAGAGGCACUCACUGUGAACGCUUUUGUGAAUGCGAGGAUUGUCUGAGUGACGAAAUGCAAUCGUUCAAAACUUUCAACAAUGGAUCUCUUGGUUCCGGCAUCGAUGAAGAACGCAGCGAAAUGCGAUAAGUAAUGUGAAUUGCAGAAUUCCGUGAAUCAUCGAAUCUUUGAACGCACAUUGCGCCCUCUGGUAUUCCGGGGGGCAUGCCUGUCCGAGCGUCAUUGCGAACCCUCAAGCACGGCUUGUGUGUUGGGCCGCCGUCCCCUCGUUUGGAGGGGACGGGCCUGAAAGGCAGCGGCGGCGUCGCGUCCGGUCCUCGAGCGUAUGGGGCUCUGUCACGCGCUCAAGGAGGGGUCCGGCCGGGGCCAUAGCCUCUGAAGGUCAAUUCUUCCAAGGUUGACCUCGGAUCAGGUAGGAGUACCCGCUGAACUUAAGCAUAUCAAU